GCCCCCUUAGUUUAACGGUUAGAACAUGGGUCUCAUAAUCCCAAGAUAUGAGUUCGAUUCUCAUAGGAGGCA
rnacentral:tRNA from 1 species